rnacentral:rRNA from 1 species
UGGGGAAUAUUUGCACAAUGGGCGGAAGCCUGAUGCAGCGACGCCGCGUGGGGGAUGAAGGCCUUCGGGUUGUAAACUCCUUUCGACAGGGACGAAGCGUAAGUGACGGUACCNGUAUAAGAAGCACCGGCUAACUACGUGCCAGCAGCCGCGGUAAUACGUAGGGUGCGAGCGUUGUCCGGAAUUACUGGGCGUAAAGAGCUCGUAGGUGGUUUGUCGCGUCGUCUGUGAAAUUCCGGGGCUUAACUCCGGGCGUGCAGGCGAUACGGGCUGACUUGAGUGCUGUAGGGGAGACUGGAAUUCCUGGUGUAGCGGUGAAAUGCGCAGAUAUCAGGAGGAAUACCGAUGGCGAAGGCAGGUCUCUGGGCAGUAACUGACGCUGAGGAGCGAAAGCAUGGGUAGCGAACAGGAUUAGAUACCCUGGUAGUCCAUGCCGUAAACGGUGGGCGCUAGGUGUAGGGGGCUUCCACGUCUUCUGUGCCGUAGCUAACGCAUUAAGCGCCCCGCCUGGGGAGUACNNAAGCAAGGCUA